AACGAACGCUGGCGGCAUGCCUAACACAUGCAAGUCGAACGAGACCUUCGGGGCUAGGGGCGCACGGGUGCGUAACGCGUGGGAAUCUACCCUUGGUUUCGGAAUAACAGUUAGAAAUGACUGCUAAUACCGGAUGAUGACGUAAGUCCAAAGAUUUAUCGCGCAAGGAUGAGCCCGCGUAAGAUUAGCUUGUUGGUGGGGUAAUGGCCUACCAAGGCAACGAUAUUUAGCUUGUCUGAGAGGAUGAUCAGCCACACUGGGACUGAGACACGGCCCAGACUCCUACGGGAGGCAGCAGUGGGGAAUAUUGGACAAUGGGCGAAAGCCUGAUCCAGCAAUGCCGCGUGAGUGAUGAAGGCCUUAGGGUUGUAAAGCUCUUUUACCAGGGAUGAUAAUGACAGUACCUGGAGAAUAAGCUCCGGCUAACUCCGUGCCAGCCGCCGCGGUAA
rnacentral:rRNA from 1 species